UAAAUAAAUUCGGCUUCGUUGCUGUGUUUCGCGGCAACGUUUUUAGUCGGAAUUUGGGUCAUCUUAAACCGAAAGGUCUUAAGCGACUUAAAAAUUUUUUUUACGAUCCCACGAACGUUUCUAAGAUCUUCUUACACGUUCAAGGUGUCGAAUACCCUACUAGUCGUGGCCGUCGUAUCGGAUCGCGUCCAUAAUAUUUAUUCUUU
rnacentral:misc_RNA from 1 species